GCAGGGCCACGAUGGGGUUAAGUAGAGAGCGCCUAGCUCAAGAGCAUAGACAUCCUUUUCUCUAUAUUGUAUUUGUCUAUUUCUUCUCUGGAAUGUACUUUGUAACUUGUAGGAUUCAAGGGCAAAUGCUAGGUUCUCUCUGGAAGCUCAUUGAUGAAGAUAUACCGUAUAAAUUUUAGACAUUCCUUUCCAUCUUUACUUCACCAAAUUACUUACAGAAAUUAUUUGAUGCUGAAAGUGACUUCCAAGCAUUUUUCAAGUGGCGUUGCUGCAUCAUACUUACACCACAUAGGGUAGGCAGUCAGUUAACAGUUUCUCACUUCACUCACAGGAGACAGGUGGUCAGUUGACACCUUUCUACGAAUGUGUGCCCCAUUUUGUUGUUUAAUGAGGCUGUGAGGGGAAAUGUAUUCAAGGAUGAGGGCAUAGCAUGAGUAAAGGCACAGAGGCUGAGAGGGCUUGCCAAGUUUGGGGAACUCCAGCAGCAGCCUGGGGGAGAUGACCCUUGCAGGCCAUGCUCAAAGAGUGUGGACUCCACCCUGUCCACCAGAGGGAGUCUGUGAAGGAGUUUAGUCAGGGAAGUGGCUUGGUCUGAAGAGUUCUAGGAAGAUCACUCUAGCUGGAUCUGAUGCACUUAAGGGCUGCAAGCCAAGACACCAGUAAGGGGCCAUUGAGAUAGUCCAGGCAAGGCCCAAGAGGGUGCCGCUGAGCCAGUGCCAGCAGGAAUGCCGUGGAGGGAACAGAUUACCAGGAGGGAGGGAAAGAAAGGGUUAAGAAGGGCUUCCAGAUUCCUGAGUUAAGUAAUGAGGAAGACAAGAAGUGAGAAGA
rnacentral:lncRNA from 10 species